rnacentral:misc_RNA from 1 species
GAUGAAGAACGCAGCGAAACGCGAUAGUUAAUGUGAAUUGCAGAAUUCAGUGAAUCAUCGAGUCUUUGAACGCACAUUGCGCCCAUUGGUAUUCCGUUGGGCAUGUCUGUUUGAGCGUCAUUACAACAGUUCAGCGUAAGCUGGUUAUGAGUUCUGUUUUUUUAAACAAAAAACAGGCUUUAAAAUGUAUGUUCUGCAGGUCGCUUUGCUAAACCCUAAACAUUAAAUACUGUUCUAGUGAAGCAUUUGCGACUAUGCCUGAAAAAAAACUUUUGUUAAAGUUUGACCUCAGAUCAGACAAGGAUACCCGCUGAACUUAAGCAUAUCAAUAAGCGGAGGA